rnacentral:rRNA from 1 species
AUGCGUGGCUUCCUGAGCUGCAACAAUGAAGUGCGCACCGGCUGCGACGGUGACCGCGGAGAGUUGCCGACGGGGCCGGCGCUGCAACUCGAUGUGGAUUUGAAGCUGUUGGGAGCACGCGGAGUUGAAAUGGAGCAACGCCAUGCCGCCGGAAGCAUAGCCGGGGCUGCAAUGGAGCUUUGCCGGAGUUGUAAUGGAGCUUUGCCGGACGCGGUCGGUGCUGCGUUGGAGCUGCAAUGGAGCUUUGCCGGACGCCUGGCCAUUGGUGCUCCGGUCGAGCUAUGGUCGCGCUCGUACUAUGCUGCAGUGGAGCUUUGUCGAGGAAAGCAGCGCUGCAUUGAAGCUGGUAGCGCUGCUGCCGUGGCAUGCUGCAUCGGAGGACCACCAGCGCGCAUAUCCGACGUUUGUCCAGGCGGAUGA